rnacentral:lncRNA from 1 species
UUUUGCUAGAUGUCAUCUUCAGGAUCACCUUGCCUUUACCAAGCACUUCAGAAGUUGCAGAGUUUCCCAUGAACAACUUUUCACCAUUUGUAACUGGUGCAAAAGUAGUGAACAUGCUCCUGUUGGAGCAGACAUGGCAAGUGGCCCCAGUGUCCAGCCACCACUCCUUUGGGUUAGACCCCACCAGGUUAACCUCACUAAUCACCGUCGUGAGGUUUAGCUCAGACAUUUCAUCUGAGAGAUGAUCUCUCUCAUUUCCAACCAUAUUAGCCUGAGGACGCUGCUUAUUAUCCCUCUGAGGCUGACGACAG